rnacentral:rRNA from 1 species
GCUGGCGGCAGGCUUAACACAUGCAAGUCGAGCGGGCGUAGCAAUACGUCAGCGGCAGACGGGUGAGUAACGCGUGGGAACAUACCUUUUGGUUCGGAACAACACAGGGAAACUUGUGCUAAUACCGGAUAAGCCCUUACGGGGAAAGAUUUAUCGCCGAAAGAUUGGCCCGCGUCUGAUUAGCUAGUUGGUAGGGUAAUGGCCUACCAAGGCGACGAUCAGUAGCUGGUCUGAGAGGAUGAUCAUGCCACAUUGGGACUGAGACACGGCCCAAACUCCUACGGGAGGCAGCAGUGGGGAAUAUUGGACAAUGGGGGCAACCCUGAUCCAGCCAUGCCGCGUGAGUGAUGAAGGCCCUAGGGUUGUAAAGCUCUUUUGUGCGGGAAGAUAAUGACGGUACCGCAAGAAUAAGCCCCGGCUAAUUUCGUGCCAGCAGCCGCGGUAAUACGAAGGGGGCUAGCGUUGCUCGGAAUCACUGGGCGUAAAGGGUGCGUAGGCGGGUCUUUAAGUCACGGGUGAAAUCCUGGAGCUCAACUCCAGAACUGCCUUUGAUACUGAAGAUCUUGAGU